rnacentral:rRNA from 1 species
UUUUUGAUAAUAAUUUAAAGUCUAGCCUGCCCCAUGAUAAUUAUUAAAUGGCCGCGGUAUACUGACCGUGCAAAGGUAGCAUAAUCAUUAGUUUUUUAAUUGAAAGCUGGUAUGAAAGGUUGGAUGAGAAAAUAACUGUCUCUAUUUAAAUUUUUUAGAAUUUUAUUUUUAAGUUAAAAAGCUUAAAUAAAAAUAAAAGACGAGAAGACCCUAUAGAGUUUUAUAUUUAUUUAUUUUUAAGGAAUUUAGAAUUUAAAUGGUAAAAGUAAAUAAGUAUUUGAUUGGGGUGAUAGAAAAAUUAAAAGAACUUUUUUUUUAUUUUUACAUUUAUUUAUGAAUAUUUGAUCCUUAAAUAAAGAUCAAAAGAACAAAUUACCUUAGGGAUAACAGCGUAAUUUUUUUUAAGAGUUCUAAUCGAAAAAAAAGAUUGCGACCUCGAUGUUGGAUUAAAAUUAAAUUUUGGUGUAGAAGCUAAAAAAUUAGGUCUGUUCGACCUUUAAAAUUUUACAUGAUCUGAGUUUAAACCGGCGUGAGCCAGGUCGGUU